ensembl:lncRNA
AUGAAGCAUGAGAAGGAUUCGCCAUGCAAUUAUUGGCUCGAAGACGAGGGGGUCUGCAUGUCAAGAAGACAGGGAUCUCAGUUCCGCAACUGCAAUGAACUGAAUUCUGCUAACAACCUAGAUGCAUUUGGAAGUGGAUUCUUCCCCAGAUUCUGCAGACAGCCCAGCCCAGCCAACACUGGAGCGCCAAAGUGGAUUUCAGCUUUGAGAGUCCCUGAGUACAGAACGCAGCUGUGCCACACUGUGCCGGGACUUCUGGUCCAGGGAUGCUCCCAACCUGAUCACAACGAAUGCACAAAGAAAGAAUCCGAGGCUGAGCUGCUGACUGUAGAGAUGGGAUGCAGUGAAUGAUGUUUCUAUUUGAGCGACCGAGUGGAGAGAGAGAGUGGGGGCAAGAAUGUAGAUUUAAACAUCCUUGACUUCCCCCAUCCUUUGCUGGGGAGGAGGCAGAUGAACAGAGGCUUCCAGAAGUGUCUGGGUGAGUCCUAGAGCAGGUUUGUCCAUGCAUCUUCAGACAUGGCCUGGAAAGACUAGGCACCUCUCAGAAAAAUCUGGGCAGGUGGUGAGGGGGCUGCUGCUGCUUCUUAUAUUGAGGUAGAAGGCAGAGGUUGGACACCAGACCAAAUUGAGGACUAGCUAAAAUGGGGAUGGGGCAAAAACAACUUUCUGUAAAACAUGCCCACCAGAAUGCCAUGUCAGUUUACCGUUGCCAUGGUGACACUCGAGCGGUGUCAUCUUUGCCCAUGGCAAUGGCCUAACCACCUAGAAGUUACCACUCUUUUUCAAGAAAUUUCUGCAUAUUCUGUCCCUUAAUUUUCAAAGUAAAUACAAAUGUGAGUAAAAAACUGCCUCUGAGCUGCUGCUCUGGGCACACUGCCUCUGGGGUAUCCCUGCUCCACAAGGCGCAGCACCUCUGCUGCUGCUUCAGUGAAAGCAGUUUUCUAAUACCAACAGCUGACCCUUAAAUAUUCCCUGGGCAAAGCCAAUAACCCACCCAGGCAAAGCUUCGGUUUUGGAUUCACCUGCCCUGCAUCGGUAUGACAUGCAAAAGCAAAGAGAAAACGUUUGGGGGUGGGUGUGAGAUGUGACUCGCAGGUCUCCAAGGUCUUGGGCAAGCUGUUCCUUGAAGCUGGGCAUCCAAUCGGUGUGGUGUCAGUCUUGGGCUCUCCAAAGAAUGGCAGCCCCAGCAGGACAGUGGAGUCAGUGGGGAAGAACCACAGCCUUGCAGGCUACGGGUCCCUACAGCCACAGACACCUGCCUUCGCAGUGGGUCCAGCAGGGAGCACCAGGAUCCUAACCUUUCCCGGUGUCCACCUGCCACUGGGAGUAGGAAGAAGCAGGAUGUUCUUGAGGACAAGAGACAUUUAGGAAGACUAAUUGCCCAACUGCCUUCGACUGACAAGAUUGAGCAUUUACAGAUAUCUUGCAAUCAAUAAGAGUUCAAGAGCAAGAUAAGCUGAGAUACCAAAAAAUAAUAAUGGUCGCUUUUUGUUUUGUUUUGUUUUCCCAUUUGGCUCCUAUUAAAUAGUUUUCUAGGUUGUAGAAAUUUAUCCUUUCC